GUCUCAAGUGUCCUAUAAAUGCAGUUGUUGAAGUCACAUAUUUGGAAAUGACCCAUCUGAGGUCCAGUGCCAGGCUCUCUUCAGUGUUUGCAGUGUGUUUUUUAAGUGGCAGGGUGGGCUGGCAGUUACAGAUUGUCCCAUUGUCACAGGGUCACAGGUCUGAUCCCUCUCAGAGCCGGUGUGUCCACGUUGAGCCGCCUCCAUCGGAGACGUUGCCCCUGUCUCACCCUUUUGUUGAAGCAGUUGCAUGAGCCAGAAAGUGGAUCCAUUAAGACUCACAAUCGACCUGCUGAAAACAGAGAGCUGCUGUUUGGUUACAAUGCAGAAAUUUACUGUUGACACACAACUCACACAAAGCUGCAAGGCUCCUUCUGUCCUGUUGUGUUUUCUGUUUAUAAAUCCUGGUCAGGUAGUGGGUUCAGGUCCUGAAUCUGCAGAUUCAGAACACAACUGAAGACACUGAAAUGCUGUCACAUGCUGACCUCUAGUGGAUGAUGUGUGGUUUACUGACAGUAGAAUAAAACCCUCAGUCACAGUCAUUUAGGGCAUGUUUAGCGGUGUGUUUUCUUGUCUGGGGGUUUCCAAAUAACACAAUUAGUCUGCAGCACUGAAAUAUAAAUAAAUCCAUCCUCUGCUUACUCAUACACUAAUUGAAAUGAUUUAAUUCUUCGCUGUAUGUCCUGGACAUUAAUCCCAGGAAAGCUAUUGGUAAUGAUGUGUGUUUAAUGAUCUGGUAACAUUUAUACUUGUGAUAUUUAAAUGAAGAGUAAUCACACCAGAUUAAAGUAUCAGUUUUGAAUUCGUAUUAUGAUAAAUGUCUAGGGGAGGAGGAAGUAGUAAGAUUCUGGACUAAAGUAAAACUACAAAUUCCACACUGCAGAAAUACACAAUUGCAUGUAAAAGUUCUGCAUUUAAAAUAUUACGAAACUUAGCAAUCUGGGCACGUGUACGGAUCUGGUAAUUGGAUUUUCCGUUCUGAAACGGGUAUAAACAAAAAACGAGUGGUUAUUUGAUUUUCGUUUUAAAAUACAAAAAUUAAAAUUGAAAUACAAGGCAUUUUUCCUUUUCAUGAUCAAAAAGGGAUAUACGUUUUUUUUUAAAAUGCUUUUAUUUUCGUUUUAUAUUUAGAAUAACAAGAAAGUAAAAUCAGUAAGAGACAGAAACGAAAAAAGGUCAGUUUUUUCAUUUUCUCAGACCGGAAAUUGUCAUCAGGAAGUGUGGAGCCAAACAGAGUACGGUGCAUAGACUGUACAUACAUUUUUUUUUCAUGAGUUUUCAUGGUCAGAAUGAGAGAUCAGGUGGCCGAUCUUAAAAUAAAUCAAUAUCGAUUUUUUUAUAGAGCGUUAAAGUUUUGCGAAGCCAGGGGGCGGGACUAUUUGAUUGACAGUCCGGUCUGGAAUGAUUGACAGGUCCUAUGGAGGAGGCAGCAGAGACUCUGCUCUCCUCAUUUGGAUUAAUUCUGAUAUAAUAACUGUUUAUUUAUCGGUGGAGCAGCACAACAUUUUCCACAGACAGUUUUCCUGCCCGUUGGCUUGUUUUAACCAGUUUUCUACCUUCGGCUGAUUCUACCAGCAGACACUGAAAGGACUCUAAUAGUUCGGUAAGUAAAUGUUUAUUUUCGUAUCGGUGCUGCUUUUAAUGCACUUUAUAUGCAGCUUUAGUGUCAGAUGUAAUGUGUGCCAUGUACUCCAGAUGUUGGUGGAGUUUGUUUCAGUGUGUGUUGACCAGAGAAGAAAGUUAGCAUAGUAAAUGUUAGCUUUAAUGUUAGCGAUGCUAACCGAGCGAGCUGCUCAGUCGCAGCUUGAUUAAAGCUAACGUAGCAUCAAGCUAAUGUGUUGAGUUUCAUGUAAACAGCUGAAGUGUGUUGUGUUCCUGUCAUGUGGUUCAUUAUGUUCAUAAAACUGUGGCUGGUUGACAUUAAUGUAACGUUCAGGAAACUUAAAUGUGAUUAAAACAGUAACGUUAAUGUUCUAGUUGUCAGCAAUCAGCUUUAAUUUGACACUAAAACAGACUCUGAUAGUUUGAAAUGACAUCAGUUUCAUUAAUUUGUUGAAAAUUGUCUCAUUUGUUGUUGUGAUGUUGCUGCUGAUUCAUUAAAAGCAGAUGAUCCGUGUUGAAGAUACGUUUAGUUCUAGUAUCAGAAGUACAAGAAGGAAAAUGGAAGUUUAGUUCUGCUACGUCAAAGAUUUCAGGAUUAAAAUAACUAAAUGAGUCUUUAUGCCGCAAACUUUAUUUUUAGAAUAAAGAAAUAAUGAAAUAAUCACAGAUGAUAAAAAUAUAAAUAGCAGAGAAAACCUGAGAGAAUAAUUUCCUGAAAAGUCUGUGAAGGAAAAGCAGCUUUUUAUCCUGAAAGAUCAGAAUCAGCUCCAACAUCUGCAUCUGACAGAAUCAAGUCAACCAGAAAGAAAAGAAAAAAGAAAAUGACUUCUUUCUGAUCACAUCUGUUCUGCUGCUCACAGUCUGCUGCUGCUCACAUUCUUCACAUUUAUAGUCCACUUUUAAAAGUUCAGCAGACAGGUGCUCUGCUUUGGAGUGUGAUGAUGUCGUCGGUGAUGUGGAGAGUGAAGUUUCCGUUUCACCCACAGCGUGCUUUAGGGCAGCCGGGUCGGACUUGAUGUUUGAAAUACUGACCAACAGCUCAGAUUUAACUGUCUGUAGUUCCGUUUUGAUGGGUGUUAAACUUUCACUCAAAGCCGCCAGGAGCUGGGUCUUUAAAAUAACCGCUGUCUCGUUACAGAGUGAAAGUAGCAGUUCCUCCUUAAGGUCAGAGAUUGCAGUAUCUGAGGGCCUCUUCAAAAGAAGACAUAGUUGAUGAAGGCGUUCUGGAGCAGGACCAGAAAGACCACGACCAAGCAGCCUUGAGAUCUUAGGCAGCGUCUCCCUCAGACAUCCACCAACCACUGGAACACAUCUCCAAAGUUCUGCCGGGCCAGCUCAGCUUCCCCUCAGAAGAAGUGCUGCCACCUGCCAGAUGAAGGAGCCUUUUGAGAGGCAGCUGGCAUCGUGAUUGGACUGUACUUUGGUCUGUUCCAAUCCAGCUUCAGCUCCAGAGACGGCAGGCGGGACGAGUCAACGGAGGCCGGGUGGACGAAGGCAUGCAGCUGAGUACAAUCCAGAAAACAACAGAGGAGGAGUGCAGUGGCCCAGAGCCAGAACAAACAGAGUAGCAUCGUAUGUCUCUUAGAAAACAUCAUAGUAUAG